GGCUGGGACACCCAAGGGUGCUUGGGGACACUGUGAGGUUUGGUGUCACCCAGAUGGGUUGGGGACACCCAAAGGUGCUUGAGGACACCAUGAGGUUUGGUGUCACCCAGGUGAGCUGGGGACACCCUGGUGGGCUGGGGGCACCCAAGGGUGCUUGGGGACACUGUGAGGUUUGGUGUCACCCAGACGGGUUGGGGACACCCAAGGGUGCUUGGUGAACAUCUGGAAUGAACUGGUGAACUGG